GCCACUGUAGCUCAGCUCGGUUGAGCGGCUGACUUGUAAUCAGCAGGCCGGGAGUUCGAAUCUCCCCAGUGGCUCCA
rnacentral:tRNA from 1 species